AAAAGCCCUUUUUUCAGUAAAGGAAAAGAACCUUAAAUUUGUAUUUAUUUUCAGUGUCAUUUUUCAGAAGUGAAUGUUCUUUGUUCCAAACAAAAACAUUUGAAUAGCCAUCAAGGAGGAGUUCCACAGGAUUGCAGGAUUUCCCAGUGUGAUUGGCUGCAUAGAUGGAACACACAUCCCCAUCACAGCUCCCUCACAUAAUGAAGCUGAUUAUGUGAACAGGAAGUCCAUUCACAGUAUAAAUGUGCAGGAGAGUUUGAUGGCCUUCUGCUGGGUGACAGGGGUUACCAUGCCAACCCAGGCUGAUGACCUCAUACCCUGACCCUGAACCAGGCCCCCAACAGAACUUCAACCAGGUUCACUGCAGGAUGAGAGCCUGGGUGGAGAUGACCAUAGACCUGCUGAAAGCCUGUUUCCAGUGUCUACAUCACCUCAGGGUGACUCCUGAGAGGCCUGUGAUAUUAUUGUGGCAUGUGUUGUUCUUCAUAAUAUUACCACUAUUAGAGGAGAGCAACACCCUGCCCUACAAACUGAAGACCCAGAUGAUGACCUCAUCCACCUGCAGCUAUCCAGGACAGCAGAGCAGUCAGAGACACCAUAUGCAAUAAUCACUGCAGAGUUUGUCUCCAUCAUCACCACAGC
ensembl:lncRNA